GUUUCGGCGACCAUGGCGAAGGGGAAAUACCCGGCUACAUUCCGAACCCGGAAGUCAAGCCCUUCAGCGCCGAUGGUACUGCACUGGAGACGGUGUGGGAGAGUAGGACGUCGCCGGACAA
rnacentral:rRNA from 1 species